GACGAACGCUGGCGGCGUGCUUAACACAUGCAAGUCGAACGGAAAGGCCCUGCUUUUGUGGGGUGCUCGAGUGGCGAACGGGUGAGUAACACGUGAGUAACCUGCCCUUGACUUUGGGAUAACUUCAGGAAACUGGGGCUAAUACCGGAUAGGAGCUACUGCUGCAUGGUGGGGGUUGGAAAGUUUCGGCGGUUGGGGAUGGACUCGCGGCUUAUCAGCUUGUUGGUGGGGUAGUGGCUUACGAAGGCUUUGACGGGUAGCCGGCCUGAGAGGGUGACCGGCCACAUGGGGACUGAGAUACGGCCCAGACUCCUACGGGACGCAGCAGUGGGGAGUAUUGCACAAUGGGCGGAAGCCUGAUGCAGCAACGCCGCGUGCGGGAUGACGGCCUUCGGGUUGUAAACCGCUUUCGCCUGUGACGAAGCGUGAGUGACGGUAAUGGGUAAAGAAGCACCGGCUAACUACGUG
rnacentral:rRNA from 1 species